CAGGUCACUCCUACGGGAGGCAGCAGUCGAGAAUUUUUCUCAAUGGGCGAAAGCCUGAAGGAGCGACGCCGCGUGGGGGAUGAAGGGUUUCGAUCCGUAAACCCCUGUCAUUUGCGAACAAACCUUAGCAUUUAAAAGAUGUUGAGCUGAUUGUAGUGAAAGAGGAAGGGACGGCUAACUCUGUGCCAGCAGCCGCGGUAAUACAGAGGUCCCAAGCGUUGUUCGGAUUCACUGGGCGUAAAGGGUGCGUAGGUGGCUUGGUAAGUUUGAUGUGAAAUCUCCGGGCUUAACCCGGAAAUGGCAUUGAAUACUAUUGAGCUGGAGGUUUGGAGGGGGGACUGGAAUUCUCGGUGUAGCAGUGAAAUGCGUAGAUAUCGAGAGGAACACCAGUGGCGAAGGCGAGUCCCUGGACAACACCUGACACUGAGGCACGAAAGCUAGGGGAGCAAACAGGAUUAGAUACCCUGGUAGUCCUAGCUGUAAACGGUGCAUAUUUGCUGUAAAAGGAAUCGACCCCUUUUGUGGCGAAGCUAACGCGAUAAAUAUGCCGCCUGGGAAGUACGGUCGCAAGAUUAAAACUUAAAGGAAUUGACG
rnacentral:rRNA from 1 species